GCAUUAUACAGCGAAACUGCGAAUGGCUCAUUAAAUCAGUUAUCGUUUAUUUGAUAGUACCUUACUACAUGGAUAACCGUGGUAAUUCUAGAGCUAAUACAUGCUAAAAAUCCCGACUUCGGAAGGGAUGUAUUUAUUAGAUUAAAAACCAAUGCCCUUCGGGGCUCUCUGGUGAUUCAUAAUAACUUCUCGAAUCGCACGGCCUUGCGCCGGCGAUGGUUCAUUCAAAUUUCUGCCCUAUCAACUUUCGACGGCUGGGUCUUGGCCAGCCAUGGUGACAACGGGUAACGGAGGGUUAGGGCUCGACCCCGGAGAAGGAGCCUGAGAAACGGCUACUACAUCCAAGGAAGGCAGCAGGCGCGCAAAUUACCCAAUCCCGACACGGGGAGGUAGUGACAAUAAAUACUGAUACAGGGCUCUUUUGGGUCUUGUAAUUGGAAUGAGUACAAUUUAAAUCCCUUAACGAGGAACAAUUGGAGGGCAAGUCUGGUGCCAGCAGCCGCGGUAAUUCCAGCUCCAAUAGCGUAUAUUAAAGUUGUUGAGGUUAAAAAGCUCGUAGUUGAACCUUGGGCCUAGCCGGCCGGUCCGCCUCACCGCGUGCACUGGCUCGGUUGGGCCUUUCCUUCUGGAGAACCGCAUGCCCUUCACUGGGUGUGCUGGGGAACCAGGACUUUUACUCUGAAUAAAUUAGAUCGCUUAAAGAAGGCCUAUGCUCGAAUACAUUAGCAUGGAAUAAUAGAAUAGGACGUGUGGUUCUAUUUUGUUGGUUUCUAGGACCGCCGUAAUGAUUAAUAGGGACAGUCGGGGGCAUCAGUAUUCAAUUGUCAGAGGUGAAAUUCUUGGAUUUAUUGAAGACUAACUACUGCGAAAGCAUUUGCCAAGGAUGUUUUCAUUAAUCAGGAACGAAAGUUAGGGGAUCGAAGACGAUCAGAUACCGUCGUAGUCUUAACCAUAAACUAUGCCGAUUAGGGAUCGGACGGUGUUAUUUUUUGACCCGUUCGGCACCUUACGAUAAAUCAAAAUGUUUGGGCUC
rnacentral:rRNA from 1 species